CAGUAGCCGCGGGAAUACGAAGGGGGCUAGCGUUGUUCGGAUUUACUGGGCGUAAAGCGCACGUAGGCGGAUCGAUCAGUCAGGGGUGAAAUCCCAGAGCUCAACUCUGGAACUGCCUUUGAUACUGUCGAUCUGGAGUAUGGAAGAGGUGAGUGGAAUUCCGAGUGUAGAGGUGAAAUUCGUAGAUAUUCGGAGAAACACCAGUGGCGAAGGCGGCUCACUGGUCCAUUACUGACGCUGAGGUGCGAAAGCGUGGGGAGCAAACAGGAUUAGAUACCCCUGUAGUCCCUGUCUCUUAUAA
rnacentral:rRNA from 1 species